AGCCGAAUUAAGGUGAAACCGCGAAAGGCUCAUUAAAUCAGUUAUGGUUCCUUAGAUCGUACCCACAUUUACUUGGAUAACUGUGGUAAUUCUAGAGCUAAUACAUGCAAACAGAGCUCCGACCGGAGACGGAAGGAGCGCUUUUAUUAGAUCAAAACCAAUCGGCGGCGGGUUCGGUCUUGUCGGCGUCGUUCGCGCGCGUCGUCCGGCCGCGGCCCGUCGUCGUACCCACUGGCGAAUCUGAAUAACUUUGCUGAUCGCACGGUCUCGCACCGGCGACGCAUCUUUCAAAUGUCUGCCUUAUCAACUGUCGAUGGUAGGUUCUGCGCCUACCAUGGUCGUAACGGGUAACGGGGAAUCAGGGUUCGAUUCCGGAGAGGGAGCCUGAGAAACGGCUACCACAUCCAAGGAAGGCAGCAGGCGCGCAAAUUACCCACUCCCGGCACGGGGAGGUAGUGACGAAAAAUAACGAUACGGGACUCAUCCGAGGCCCCGUAAUCGGAAUGAGUACAAUCUAAACCCUUUAACGAGGAUCAAUUGGAGGGCAAGUCUGGUGCCAGCAGCCGCGGUAAUUCCAGCUCCAAUAGCGUAUAUUAAAGUUGUUGCGGUUAAAAAGCUCGUAGUCGAAUUUGUGUCCCGCGCCGCCGGUUCAUCGCACGCGGUGUUUAACUGGCGUGAAUUUUAAUUCGCGGGACGUCCUGCCGGUGGGCGUCUAGCCGUCCGCGUUCGCGCGCGGACGGCGGCCCAAAUCGCAAUCUCGCCCCGGUGCUCUUCACUGAGUGUCGAGGUGGGCCGGCACGUUUACUUUGAACAAAUUAGAGUGCUUAAAGCAGGCUAAAACUUCGCCUGAAUACCGUGUGCAUGGAAUAAUGGAAUAGGACCUCGGUUCUAUUUUGUUGGUUUUCGGAACCCCGAGGUAAUGAUUAAUAGGAACGGAUGGGGGCAUUCGUAUUGCGACGUUAGAGGUGAAAUUCUUGGAUCGUCGCAAGACGAACGGAAGCGAAAGCAUUUGCCAAAAACGUUUUCAUUGAUCAAGAACGAAAGUUAGAGGUUCGAAGGCGAUCAGAUACCGCCCUAGUUCUAACCAUAAACGAUGCCAGCUAGCGAUCCGCCGACGUUCCUUCGAUGACUCGGCGGGCAGCUUCCGGGAAACCAAAGCUUUUGGGUUCCGGGGGAAGUAUGGUUGCAAAGCUGAAACUUAAAGGAAUUGACGGAAGGGCACCACCAGGAGUGGAGCCUGCGGCUUAAUUUGACUCAACACGGGAAACCUCACCAGGCCCGGACACCGGAAGGAUUGACAGAUUGAGAGCUCUUUCUUGAUUCGGUGGGUGGUGGUGCAUGGCCGUUCUUAGUUGGUGGAGCGAUUUGUCUGGUUAAUUCCGAUAACGAACGAGACUCUAGCCUGCUAAAUAGGCGUAUUUCCGACAUCUCAAAGGCCCGCCGGUCGUCCGGCGGUGGUGGUGGCGGCGGCGGCCUCGUGUCGUCGUCGUCGUCGUCGUCGUCGCGAUCAUCGCGCGCGGUUUUUACUGUCGGCGUACACACAAUUCUUCUUAGAGGGACAGGCGGCUUCUAGCCGCACGAGAUUGAGCAAUAACAGGUCUGUGAUGCCCUUAGAUGUUCUGGGCCGCACGCGCGCUACACUGAAGGAAUCAGCGUGUCCUCCCUGGCCGAGAGGCCCGGGUAACCCGCUGAACCUCCUUCGUGCUAGGGAUUGGGGCUUGCAAUUGUUCCCCAUGAACGAGGAAUUCCCAGUAAGCGCGAGUCAUAAGCUCGCGUUGAUUACGUCCCUGCCCUUUGUACACACCGCCCGUCGCUACUACCGAUUGAAUGAUUUAGUGAGGUCUUCGGACCGGUACGCGGCGGCG
rnacentral:rRNA from 1 species